AGUAGCUACUGUCUAGCUCACAACUCGAAACCUCUGAUCAUGUUCUGUAGAGUACACCCGCUCAACUGAUCCAAUGCAACCAAUACAGUAUUGGAAGCUUUCUACGAACAAGGCACCCAGAGAGGGCUCGGAGGAAGAUGACAGUGCCAACGGGCACAGGGAGAAUCGUGAGCUUACUGCACCUUCCCAGCAGGCAGAGUGAGCCCGUAGGACAAGAGCCCCCUUUCUCCGUUUCCCAUCUGCCCUGCAGCCCCGAGGAACGGUCCAUUCUACAGACAAGAGGCCUGACGCUCAGAAGCAAAGCAACUUGCCACAAUCGCAUCACCGCGAUUCGUUUCCUAUUCCACAUCGCCACCUGGCGGCCAUGGAGAGAGAACACCGCGCGUUUUUUAUCAAGCGGGCAAAGGCAGGGGAAUCCUCACGCCAAACGGGUUUGAAGACCUCUUCACACGGACGGCCAGGUCUCUACGGGACUCGCCCUUACACUAACUCCACUACAGCCCGCUCUGUCGGUGGAGGAAAUAGACGUGGAAGGCUUCCCUUCAUCACCUGGUGGCUGCCGGGCCACAUCCUGUACAAGCCGGGGCCAGCUCUAAGUCUACCCCAAAGCCUCAGCGUGCCUCUUCCCUCUAACUCAGGCGAAAGUACCUUCAAGACAGUCCUGGACGCGGUGGCUUCACGCCUGUAAUACCAGCACUUUGGGAGGCCAAGGCAAGAGGAUCACUGGAUCACUUGAGCCCAGAAGUUUGAGACUAGCCUGGACAACAUAGUGAAACCCCUGUCUUUACAAAAAUUGAUUAAUUAAUUAAUUGUUUAAAAGAGACUAUUCCUCAUUCUUUUGACAUCAUUUUAAAUGAGAAUGCAGAAUAUGACAUUGUACAUACUGAUAUUUGAUUCCUUUUAUAUAACCUUUCAUGUAUUAAAAAACUGCACUGAAAAUCUAGAAUUAAGUUAAAAUUGGUGUGGGUUAUUUGUGAAUGGUGGGAUUUUUUAAAUGUAUUCCAACACCCAUAUAUUCCAACUUUUCCACACUUCCAAAGUCUGGAAUACUUUGAGGAUGGGGAGGAAAGAUAUGUUUACGGUCCUUGGGAAACUGAAAAGCAUUUCCUGUGAUGUCCCAGGGAGCUGGGGCACAGGAGCCAGCCUUGAAGUGGAAACCCCAGGCCAUCCACUCACAAUCUGAGUAUCCUUGGGUGAGUGAUCUCUCUAACCUCCCAUCGAGUCCCCUGUAAACUAGAAAUAAUUAUAGCUGCCCACAUCACUGUCUUACUAUAAGAGUAAAAUGAGAUAAUGUAUUUUAAAACAUUGGUAUAGUGUGAGUAUUCAAUAAAUAUUCUUUGAGUGAA